AAAAUGUUGAGAAUGAAAAGCUCUAACUAAGGAACAUUUAGGCCAAAAGUGCCGGAUGCCCCUACAUAGGGGUUAUUGCCCAUAAAUGACCAUUUUUGUCAAGCUUAACGAUUUAGCUAUUACCGAUUAAACUAUAAUAGUUAGGGAAAAACUUUGAAUUGUAAAAUUGAUCAGCACUUGAAUCUCUGCCAAAUAUUUAAUUUUAUCAAAUUAAUCAGAUGGCUCCUUGUCGAAGUUAUUAAUGUUGAUUUUUGACCGAUUUUAGUAUUUUUAUACGACUGCAAAAAUUUGCUGUCGUAUAUUGGUAUUGCCCCUGGUCGUCGUUGGCAGUGUCGGUGGCGUUGUCCGGAUUAAUGGUAUCCGUGCAUUAACUUGAGUUCUGAUUGAGCAAAUGCUAUGAAAUUUUAACACAAGGUAUAUAACCAUAAAAUACAGCUUGGGAUUGUUUUUGGGGUUAUGCCCCCGCUGGUUCAUGAAAUAGGG
rnacentral:lncRNA from 1 species